GAUUAACGCUGGCGGCGUGCCUAAUACAUGCAAGUCGAGCGAAUGGAUUAAGAGCUUGCUCUUAUGAAGUUAGCGGCGGACGGGUGAGUAACACGUGGGUAACCUGCCCAUAAGACUGGGAUAACUCCGGGAAACCGGGGCUAAUACCGGAUAACAUUUUGAACCGCAUGGUUCGAAAUUGAAAGGCGGCUUCGGCUGUCACUUAUGGAUGGACCCGCGUCGCAUUAGCUAGUUGGUGAGGUAACGGCUCACCAAGGCAACGAUGCGUAGCCGACCUGAGAGGGUGAUCGGCCACACUGGGACUGAGACACGGCCCAGACUCCUACGGGAGGCAGCAGUAGGGAAUCUUCCGCAAUGGACGAAAGUCUGACGGAGCAACGCCGCGUGAGUGAUGAAGGCUUUCGGGUCGUAAAACUCUGUUGUUAGGGAAGAGCAAGUGCUAGUUGAAUAAGCUGGCACCUUGACGGUACCUAACCAGAAAGCCACGGCUAACUACGUGCCAGCCGCCGCUGUAA
rnacentral:rRNA from 1 species